UAGAGCGUCUGGAUCGAACUUUACGUCCUUGAUAGCUUCUGUUGCCUCUCUCUGAAAUUCGUGGUUUGUUUUCGUAGUAUCUAUAUCUAUCUUUGUUUACCACGUGAUUUCGUUGACGACCGUGAGUGGCUUCAACCGAUCUCUUUCCCUUCGAAUAACCUUAAAGCCUGUUCUGGGAAAUGUAAACUUAUGCAUCGUGCAAAGACUGGCAAGCAGUAGAAUAUGUGAAACAAUGCGAUAAAAGUAGGUCGAGUUAGAGAAAAGAAUGACGAUUACGAACUGUGGAUAAUAGUUUAUUGUUAUGCUGUUUUCAAACGUGCAACAAAAAUUGAAUCACCGGCAAAACAAUAGUUAAAAUAUAUUUUAUACUGAAAUAAGACACAUUUGUAUUAACGAUAUGCUGAUGUUACAUUUGUCACAUAAAAAAUAUAUUAUUUAUAUUUUAUAAAUAUUAAAGAAUUGGUUAAUUUGAA